rnacentral:tRNA from 1 species
AAUUAUGAAGCAAUCUGCAUUCAGUUUCGACCUGAAAGAUAGACAUUAUAGUCCUUAAUUA